AACGAACGCUGGCGGCAUGCCUAACACAUGCAAGUCGAACGAGACCUUCGGGUCUAGUGGCGCACGGGUGCGUAACGCGUGGGAACCUGCCCUUAGGUUCGGAAUAACUCACAGAAAUUUGAGCUAAUACCGGAUGAUGUCUUCGGACCAAAGAUUUAUCGCCUUUGGAUGGGCCCGCGUUGGAUUAGCUAGUUGGUGGGGUAAAGGCCUACCAAGGCGACGAUCCAUAGCUGGUCUGAGAGGAUGAUCAGCCACACUGGGACUGAGACACGGCCCAGACUCCUACGGGAGGCAGCAGUGGGGAAUAUUGGACAAUGGGCGAAAGCCUGAUCCAGCAAUGCCGCGUGAGUGAUGAAGGCCUUAGGGUUGUAAAGCUCUUUUACCCGAGAUGAUAAUGACAGUAUCGGGAGAAUAAGCUCCGGCUAACUCCGUG
rnacentral:rRNA from 1 species